rnacentral:rRNA from 1 species
AGCCUGACGGAGCAAUACCACGUGAGGGAAGACUGCCUAUGGGUUGUAAACCUCUUUUCUCAGGGAGGAAAUCAAUGACGUUACCUGAGGAAUAAGCAUCGGCUAACUCCGUGCCAGCAGCCGCGGUAAGACGGAGGAUGCAAGUGUUAUCCGGAAUCACUGGGCGUAAAGCGUCUGUAGGUGGCUUAGCAAGUCAACUGUUAAAUCUUGAAGCUCAACUUCGAAAUCGCAGUCGAAACUGUUAGGCUAGAGUAUAGUAGGGGUAAAGGGAAUUUCCAGUGGAGCGGUGAAAUGCGUAGAGAUUGGAAAGAACACCGAUGGCGAAGGCACUUUACUGGGCUAUUACUGACACUCAGAGACGAAAGCUAGGGUAGCAAAUGGGAUUAGAUACCCCAGUAGUCCUAGCCGUAAACAAUGGAUACUAGAUGUUGGGCAGAUCGACCUGUUCAGUAUUAAAGCUAACGCCGUUAAGUAU